AUGUGUUUCUAUCAAGGUGUAGCUACACCAACAAUGACUGAUGUGUUGGUUGUAAAAGGUGCACUGAAGAGUAAUGCAAUGACUCAAAAUGUGAACCGCAAAGAAGUGGAAAUGGCACUGGGGAAGUGGUUUACCGGCACAUGUGACCGUGGAGGGGAGAGGGGUGCAAGAGCCCAAAGAGAAAAAGGAGACGUCCACCACACAGACGCCAUGAGUGUAUUUGUAUUAUGUAUUUUUGGAGUAGUAUUGUUUUUUUUUUUCUUGUUUUUUAAAGUAUUAUGUUUGUUGUUCGUAUGUAACUAAUUUUGUAUUAAUGUAUUUUUUGGAGAGAUGUUUUUUUCAGUAGAUUUUUUUAAAUAUAUAUUUUUGAUUUGUUUACCGGUAUGUUGUGACAUUUAAAUUGUUUUUAAAAGAUCAUUUUUGUUGUUCAAUUUAACAAUAUAUAUCUUGCAGUUCAAAGCGUCAAGUGUCUUGUAUUUAUCUUGGACUUAUAUUCAUUCUUCGUUUUUAGUUUUUCUUAGAUUGUUUCCUUAAACCAUUUGGCAUGGUUGGGCUUAGAUAGGCCUUGCAUGAAUUGCCCAGUUAGGACCCACAUAAGAUCCUUACAGAGCCCACUUUAAGCCCAUAGGGGCAUUCACGGUUGAAUCCUGGUGCAAGCCCACUUUAAACCCCUUUAGGCAGGUGGGGCCCAAAUGGGUCUGACAUGAAUUGCCCAAUUAAGACCCAUGCAGUACCCUUACAGGUCCCACUUUUAGUACGUCUGGGCUUCCACGGCUUGCCCCAAGUGUCAUGAAUUGCCUGGUUAAGAUCCCACAUAACACCCUUAUAGAUCCCUUUUAAAGCCAAUCUGGGCAUCCAUGGCUGGAUCCUGGGUGCAAACCCACUUUAGACCCAUUUGGGCAGGUGGGGCCCAAAUGGGUCUGACAUGAAUUGCCCAAUUAAGACCCAUUCAGUACCCUUACAGGUCCCAUUUUUAGUACGUCUGGGCUUCCACGGCUUGCCCCAAUGUGGAUCCUGGGUGCAAGCCCAUAAUGGGGCCCACAUUUGCCGCCCAUGAAGCCCUCAUCUGGGCCCCACAUGUCAUUGCUGGCUGGGAUACUUACACCUUGAAGUGGAACCUGUUCGACUAAUGGUGUUCUUCUCACCGAGAAGACCCCAGAAAUAUCAGAUUAGAUAGGUGUUGUCCUUUCUGUAGCAGUCUC
rnacentral:lncRNA from 1 species